rnacentral:rRNA from 1 species
UGGGGAAUAUUGCACAAUGGGCGCAAGCCUGAUGCAGCCAUGCCGCGUGUAUGAAGAAGGCCUUCGGGUUGUAAAGUACUUUCAGCGGGGAGGAAGGCGAUAAGGUUAAUAACCUUGUCGAUUGACGUUACCCGCAGAAGAAGCACCGGCUAACUCCGUGCCAGCAGCCGCGGUAAUACGGAGGGUGCAAGCGUUAAUCGGAAUUACUGGGCGUAAAGCGCACGCAGGCGGUCUGCCAAGUCGGAUGUGAAAUCCCCGGGCUCAACCUGGGAACUGCAUUCGAAACUGGCAGGCUAGAGUCUUGUAGAGGGGGGUAGAAUUCCAGGUGUAGCGGUGAAAUGCGUAGAGAUCUGGAGGAAUACCGGUGGCGAAGGCGGCCCCCUGGACAAAGACUGACGCUCAGGUGCGAAAGCGUGGGGAGCAAACA